rnacentral:rRNA from 1 species
UACAGAGGUCUUAAGCGUUGUUCGGAUUCAUUGGGCGUAAAGGGUGUGUAGGUGGCGCCGUAAGUCGGGUGUGAAAUUUCGGAGCUUAACUCCGAAACUGCAUUCGAUACUGCGGUGCUUGAGGACUGGAGAGGAGACUGGAAUUCAUGGUGUAGCAGUGAAAUGCGUAGAGAUCAUGAGGAAGACCAGUGGCGAAGGCGGGUCUCUGGACAGUUCCUGACACUGAGACACGAAGGCCAGGGGAGCAAACGGG